CCGGUCCCAACUCUUCACCCCUGUCUACCGAAAUAUGUUUGCUUUUGGCGGGCCAACCGGGCUUCCCCGGGGAAGGCUGACCCCCUUCUCGUGCUCGCCAAAGGCCUCAAUAAACCCUGUGAUCAGUGUCGUCCGAGUAAAAACAAUCGUUAAAACUUUCAACAAACGGAUCUCUUGGUUCCGGCGUCGAUGAAGAACGCAGCGAAAUGCGAAAAGUAAUGUGAAUUGCAGAAUUCCGCGAAUCAUCGAAUCUUUGAACGCACAUUGCGCCCCUUUGGUAUUCCGAAGGGCAUGCCUGUUCGAGCGUCAUUGCACCCCUCACGCACUGCUUGGUAUUGGGCCUCGCCCCCGCGGCGGGCCCGGAUUCCAGUGGCGGUCCAGCGAGACUUCAAGCGUAGCAAGAUUAUCACAU
rnacentral:misc_RNA from 1 species